UACGGAGGGUGCAAGCGUUAUCCGGAUUCACUGGGUUUAAAGGGAGCGUAGGUGGGUCUGUAAGUCAGUGGUGAAAUCUCCAGGGCUCAACCCGGAAACUGCUCUGCAUACUGGCAGACUGGAGUGAUGCAGAGGUUUGUGGAAUUCCUGGUGUAACGGUGAGAUGUGUUGAUAUCAGGAGGAACACCCAUGGCGAAGGCAGCAAACUGGGCAUUAACUGACGCUGAGGCGCGAAAGCGUGGGUAGCAAACAGG
rnacentral:rRNA from 1 species